GACGAACGCUGGCGGCGUGCCUAAUACAUGCAAGUCGAGCGGACAGAUGGGAGCUUGCUCCCUGAUGUUAGCGGCGGACGGGUGAGUAACACGUGGGUAACCUGCCUGUAAGACUGGGAUAACCCCGGGAAACCGGGGCUAAUACCGGAUGGUUGCCUGAACCGCAUGGUUCAGACAUAAAAGGUGGCUUCGGCUACCACUUACAGAUGGACCCGCGGCGCAUUAGCUAGUUGGUGAGGUAACGGCUCACCAAGGCGACGAUGCGUAGCCGACCUGAGAGGGUGAUCGGCCACACUGGGACUGAGACACGGCCCAGACUCCUACGGGAGGCAGCAGUAGGGAAUCUUCCGCAAUGGACGAAAGUCUGACGGAGCAACGCCGCGUGAGUGAUGAAGGUUUUCGGAUCGUAAAGCUCUGUUGUUAGGGAAGAACAAGUGCCGUUCAAAUAGGGCGGCACCUUGACGGUACCUAACCAGAAAGCCACGGCUAAUACGUGCCAGCAGCCGCGGUAAU
rnacentral:rRNA from 1 species